CUUCGGCGUCCGCAUUGUAAUCUCAAGAAGUGUUUUCCGCUUCGGACCAUGCCUAAGUCCCUUGGAAAAGGGCAUCAUAGAGGGUGAUAAUCCCGUACAUGGCAUGGAGCGCCCGAGGCUUUGUGAUACGCUUUCUAAGAGUCGAGUUGUUUGGGAAUGCAGCUCAAAAUGGGUGGUAAAUGCCAUCUAAGGCUAAAUAUUGGGGAGAGACCGAUAGCGAACAAGUACAGUGAUGGAAAGAUGAAAAGAACUUUGAAAAGAGAGUUAAACAGUACGUGAAAUUGCCAAAAGGGAAGGGUAGGAGGUCAGAGAUGCGUCUUGGGAUUCAGCCUUGCUUUUGCUUGGUGUUUUUCCCAAGUUGCAGGCCAACGUCGGUUUUGGGCACUGGAGAAGGGUGGAAGGAACGUGGCACCUCUCGGGGUGUGUUAUAGCCUUCUACUGGAUACAGCGACCGAGACCGAGGACAGCAGCGUACUCGCAAGAGCGGGCCUUCGGGCACCUUUACGCUUAGGGCGUUGGCAUAAUGGCCCUCUACCACC
rnacentral:rRNA from 1 species